CCCUGUCCUGUCUUUCCUGAAUCCAGCGCAUCACUGCCAGAAUGGCGACCGUUGACGCCAGCUGGUGGGAUGAGACAGUUUGUAACAUGAUGGCUUGCCAGCACCCGCCCUGUUGGGAGACCAUGUGGAGGAUUGAAAACGGACAUCCUCGGAUCUUGCUAAGAACCCUUGAUUCACUUCGGAGACAAUCCCCAGAAUAUGAAGAGGAAUUGCCAACACUGAAGAUUGUUGACCUUCCCCUCAAUUAUUCCCAAAGAGAGAGAAUCAAAUGCAACAAAAGUUUGGCAUCCCUCUCCAAGACCAUCUCCGGCAUCAGAGAGGCCAGGCGUAUUCUUUCAAACUCUACCUUGAAUGAAGCGUUGAUCCCUCUCACCUCAGUGCUGAGUUCUGAAAAGAACUCUUUCCCAGGGCUGAACUCCAGGAUGGAGUCUCACACUCCCCACUUUGCAUCAGUAAACUUCAGCUCCUGGAGACCAGCUGAGAAAAUACAGGUGGCAGAUCUUGGUGAAUUUGCUGCACACCAGAUGGAUUUCCUGCCUGCCUAUGGAAACGUAGUCUUCAGGUGGAUCCCAAAUAUGAGGCAUCGGCAUUUGGAGCCCGAGAAGCUGACCUCCAGAGCAGCGAUGUCCACUCAGAGGAUGUGCGUGAAGGAGCUGGCUUUGGAAGGCAUCCUGUCUUGCAAGGACAACCAGAAGGUGAAAACCAGGAAGUCAAACAAAGUCCCUACAGGGGGUCAGCCCUAUCUCCUUCAUCUGAAGAAGAGGCAACAGUCUCCUGUCAAUAAAUCAAAUCCUGGAGGCAAAGACGGGCAUUCCAAGGAGAACUCAGUGAGGCAGGGGCCGCCCUCCCCGUGCCAGCUGCACCUGGCGCCGGUGACGCCUCUCUCCAAGGAAGGGGCCCAAACUCUGGAGGGUGGAAGCCCCACGCCAGAGAGCAAGGAGAAGUUCUUCCCCUCCUUGACCAUGCAGAAGGUGCCCAGUCGACACACAUUCGGAACGAAGGUCCCUGUGAAGGAGAAAGGCCCCAGAAGAGCCUCAAGCCGGCUGAAGCUUCCCUUUGGAGGGCUGGGGCUCGCGAGGUGUCGGAUGCCUGACCGGGCAGAGCAGCCAAACAGAGCAGACACUCAGGUCAGUGAAGGAGGCCAAGCCAAGAACCUGCUCCUUGAGAGAUCUGGAAGGACCAGACAAGGGAUGAGGGCCGGCGGGAUGCUGUUUGCCGCCCUGGCAUUAGCAGAGCGGGUUUCUUUUUACAAUGACUUGAGGUGUUCAUCGGUUUCUCUUGAGAUCAAAUUCUCAGAAGGACGCUCGCAUGAAUAA
rnacentral:lncRNA from 1 species